rnacentral:tRNA from 1 species
GAGGGUAUAGCUCAGUGGUAGAGUACAUGCCUAGCAUGCACAAGGUCCUAGGUUCAAUCCCCACUAUCUCCA